UCAAUCUACGAAUAAAGUAAUCAUAAAUGGGAUUAAUGUGUAAUGCGCAUUAACAUAUAGGGACUAGAAUGGAGAAUUGUCCAGGCCCCAAAGCAUAAUGUUGCGGUGCAGAUCCAAUUGCAAAAAUGCGCAAAUGUUAGGGAAAAUUUUAAAAAACUGGUAAGUUGCAAUUAGGGGCUAAUCAGAAUGCAACACAAAAGGAGAGGGACUUGAUGCAAAAAAAACCCCUUUUGAGCGCAAAAACGAGGAUCCGGGUCUUUUGGACGGGCUGACGCGCGGGUUGCUCCUUCCUAAAGCUGUACCGUUUCAUUAUUUACCCAAAAUUUAAAGGAAAUUGAAUGGCUAUUUAACCAUUCCUUCCAAACGCAAGCCAAACACCCAAUUUAUUUAGGGUUUUGACUCAGCAGCCUUUAAUUUCUAAGGCUAUUUCAGCACCAGUACACCAUUAAAAUUGGUGAGGUGUAUAGAAACAGCCUUUAUUUCAAUUGAAAUCAACACUUCAAAGACCAUUUUCAUUUGUGAAUACGCAUUUCUAUCCCCGAUUUCAACGGAGAAGUCAAGGGAUCUCAUCAAUGCAUUUAGCAAAGGCUCGGUUGUACAGUGGAGUGGAGAGACGUGCGAAGGAGGCCAUGUGAGGAGUCACUCGUGGGAGCCCUAACUCUCUUGCUUAUUCUGGCACGUUCCAGAAGCUUCCAGUGCUACUGAGAUAUUUUUGGGUGUAUUGGGCCUGGGGUAAUGGGUUAUUUGGGCUAUUUUAUAAAAGAACUUGGACUUUGAUUUAA